rnacentral:rRNA from 1 species
CCUACGGGGCGCAGCAGUGGGGAAUAUUGCACAAUGGGGGAAACCCUGAUGCAGCAACGCCGCGUGAGUGAGGAAGUAUUUCGGUAUGUAAAGCUCUAUCAGCAGGGAAUAGAAAAGAAGGUACCUGAAAAAGAAGCCCCGGCAAACUACGGGCCAGCACCCGCGGAAAUACGUAGGGGGCAAGCGUUAUCGGGAUUUACUGGGUGGAAAGGGAGGGUAGACGGAAAGGCAAGUCAGAAGUGAAAACCCAAGGCUCAACCAUGGGACUGCUUUUGAAACUGUCAAGCUAGAGUACGGGAGAGGUAAGAGGAAUUCCUAGUGUAGCGGUGAAAUGCGUAGAUAUUAGGAGGAACACCAGUGGCGAAGGCGGCUUACUGGACCGUAACUGACGUUGAGGCUCGAAAGCGUGGGGAGCGAACAGGAUUAGAUACCCCAGUAGUC